rnacentral:rRNA from 1 species
ACUCCUACGGGAGGCAGCAGUGGGGAAUAUUGCACAAUGGGGGAAACCCUGAUGCAGCCAUGCCGCGUGUGUGAAGAAGGCCUUGGGUUGUAAAGCACUUUCAGUAGGGAGGAAGGUAGUGUAGUUAACACCUGCAUUAUUUGACGUUACCUACAGAAGAAGCACCGGCUAACUCCGUGCCAGCAGCCGCGGUAAGUACGGAGGGUGCGAGCGUUAAUCGGAAUUACUGGGCGUAAAGCGCAUGCAGGCGGCCUGUUAAGUCAGAUGUGAAAGCCCGGGGCUUAACCUCGGAAUUGCAUUUGAAACUGGCAGGCUAGAGUCUUGUAGAGGGGUUAGAAUUUCAGGUGUAGCGGUGAAAUGCGUAGAGAUCUGAAGGAAUACCGAGUGGCGAAGGCGGCCCCUGGACAAAGACUGACGCUCAGAUGCGAAAGCGU